CCUACGGGAGGCAGCAGUGGGGAAUUUUCCGCAAUGGACGAAAGUCUGACGGAGCAACGCCGCGUGAGUGAAGAAGGUUUUCGGAUCGUAAAACUCUGUUGUGAGGGAAAAACAAGUACCAACUAACUACUGGUACCUUGACGGUACCUCACCAGAAAGCCACGGCUAACUACGUGCCAGCAGCCGCGGUAAU
rnacentral:rRNA from 1 species